AUACGGAGGGUGCAAGCGUUAUUCGGAAUCACUGGGCGUAAAGCGCACGUAGGCGGCGAGAUAAGUCGGGCGUGAAAGCCCUCGGCCCAACCGAGGAAUUGCGUUCGAUACUGUUUGGCUUGAGUCCUGGAGAGGGUGGCGGAAUUCCGGGUGUAGGAGUGAAAUCCGUAGAUAUCCGGAGGAACACCGGUGGCGAAGGCGGCCACCUGGACAGGUACUGACGCUGAGGCGCGAAAGCGUGGGGAGC
rnacentral:rRNA from 1 species